CGGAGGGGCUAGCGUUGUUCGGAAUUACUGGGCGUAAAGCGCGCGUAGGCGGCUUUGUAAGUUAGAGGUGAAAGCCUGGAGCUCAACUCCAGAAUUGCCUUUAAGACUGCAUCGCUAGAAUUGUGGAGAGGUGAGUGGAAUUCCGAGUGUAGAGGUGAAAUUCGUAGAUAUUCGGAAGAACACCAGUGGCGAAGGCGACUCACUGGACACAUAUUGACGCUGAGGUGCGAAAGCGUGGGAGCAAACAGGAUU
rnacentral:rRNA from 1 species